CCUGUAAUGAGAUACUAUUCUUUUCUCUCCCAGAAUUUCUGCCCUGUUGUGCAGUCCUGUCAUCACAGCUACCAUGAGGUCAAAUGUAAGCUCUCAGCUACUGCUCCAGUGCCAUGCCUGCCUGCUGCCAUACUCCCAACCAUGAAGGUCAUGGAAUCUAACCCUCUGGAACUCUACUGACGGUGACCGAACCUAUGCUGACCUUUGCUAAUAGAACUGCAGGUGUAAUGGAACUGUGGACAGAUGUGUGAAUGGACUCAUAUUGUUAAGAAUUACCCCAUGGAUUGGAAAAUAAAAUCUUCGCCUGUGCUGUUUAGAGGUUUAAUGUGCUACACUAUUGACUGUGGUUGAUUAAUAAGUCAUUAAAUAAGAGUCUGAAGCUAAUCCAG
rnacentral:lncRNA from 1 species